rnacentral:antisense_RNA from 2 species
CUUCACGGAGCCCAGCAGCAGCGGCUGUUCGGCGUCCCGGUCCUGGCCGUAGGUGGCGAGGAGUGCCUGGGCCUC